rnacentral:lncRNA from 1 species
CUUGGACCAGUGUAGUGUCCGCAGGCGGUCUCGGGUAGGUGAAGAGCUAGCCACCUCCCUAGGAGAUUGAUACACGUGAGACAGUGUGCGAGCCUUGUGUUCGCUGAGAGAUUGGGUGAUCAGAUGAAUGACAUCGUUGUUGACCAAUAGUAGUAUGAUAGCCAGCCUCCACUAUGAGUUGCAUCGACAUUGAGCAUAGUCACUUGG